GCCGCCGCCGCCGCCGCCGCCGCCGCCGCUGCCGCCGCGCCGCCGCGCUGCCGCGAGAAGGGUCGACCAGGUGGCAGAGGAGUGUGCUCUAACAGAGAUGGGUGGCAUUUUGGGGACAAGUGACCGGGUCCCCAAGCUCAGAGGUGGCUGUGUCCAGUGCAUCAGCCCCGUGCCCUCUCGCGUGGACAUUUUUAUACUUGGAGUUGUGGUUUUGGACCUGCAGGUAAGUGCUGACACGCUGUUCUCUGGUGACUGUCGCCAGAGAGAGGGGACUCCGGACGUGCGUUGGGGACACGGGGACAAAGUGGGCUUCCAGUGGGCUGGUGCUCGACCGUGCUCCUUUCUGAGAGCCACCUGCUUGGGCUCGCGCGGUGGCUUGUGUGCGUUCGUCCCGGUUGUCCCGCGACGGUGAUGCCACCUCCGGCCUAUGGUGCCCGAGGGCGGUGGGGGUGAGGCGGGCGUCGGGUCCUCUACCCGCGUGCGCUCCUUGCCGCUGGUGAGCCGAUCGCCUGGUGGUUGUGACAACCCUCUGACUGAAAGGACCUCGAUGAGGGGUGGCUUCAUGCCACACGUGUGCGUGUCAGGCGUUCUCCGCUGGGGUUGUCUACCGCCUGCAGUGGGAGGCGGGGGCCGGCGAGGCUGCAGCGGGCCCCACUGGUGGCUGUCCUUGCCGGGUCGUGCCCCCCGCCCUCACUCCACGUGUUAAAACUCCGAGCUGACUGUGACCGAUGUGGUGCUGUGGUGCUCUCCUGGGCCGGACCUAAGCUGCUCCAGAUGAGGGACGGCCGUUCAUGGCGAACGCUGCCGAGCCUCUCGUUCUGGCCUGCGGGCCCCUCGUUCUGC